AUGUCUGGUGUGGUACCUGGAUGUCUGGGGUGGUACCUGGAUGUCUGGGGUGGUACCUGGAUGUCUGGGGUUGUACCUGGAUGUCUGGAGUUGUGUCUGGAUGUCUGGGGUUGUACCUGGAUGUCUGGGGUGGUACCUGGGUGUCUGGGGUGGUACCUGGAUGUCCGGGGUGGUACCGGAUGUCCAGGGUGGUAUCUGAAUGUCCGGGGUGGUACCUGGAUAUCCAGAGUGGUGCCUGGAUGUCUGGUGUGGUACCUGGAUGUCUGGGGUGGUGCCUGGAUGUCUGGGGUUGUACCUGGAUGUCUGGGGUGGUACCUGGGUGUCGGGGGUGGUACCUGGAUGUUUGGUGUGGUACCUGGGUGUCUGGGGUGGUACCUGGAUGUCCGGGGUUGUACCUGGAUGUCUGGGGUGGUACCUGGAUGUCGGGGGUGGUACCUGGAUGUUUGGUGUGGUACCUGGGUGUCUGGGGUGGUACCUGGAUGUCCGGGGUUGUACCUGGAUGUCUGGGGUGGUACCUGGAUGUUUGGUGUGGUGCCUGGAUGUCUGGGGUGGUACCGGAUGUCCGAGGUGGUACUGGAUGUCCGGAGUGGUACCUGGAUGUCUGGGGUUGUACCUGGAUGUCUGGGGUGGUACCUGGAUGUUUGGUGUGGUGCCUGGAUAUCUGGGGUGGUAUUGGAUGUCCGGGGUGGUACCUGGAUGUCCGGAGUGGUACCUGGGUGUCUGGGGUUGUACCUGGAUAUCUGGGGUGGUACUGGAUGUCUGGGGUGGUACCUGGAUGUCCGGAGUGGUACCUGGAUGUCUGGGGUUGUACCUGGAUGUCUGGGGUGGUACCUGGAUGUUUGGUGUGGUGCCUGGAUGUCUGCAUACAGAACAGCAGAAGCUGCUGCUCCAGGCCUGCAGUUUGACUCUCAGAGCAGAUGGUAUUUGCUGAGCUUCACCAGGUCUGGGAGCAGCUGCCCUGACAAAGGGGUGUCUCCUUUGCAGGAAAACUGCUCGGGGAAGCCCUGA
rnacentral:lncRNA from 1 species